CUGUGAGCCUGGUCGAGCUUAUAUUUUAUGGAUACACAUGCAUGGACACACAUGCAUGGAUUCCCUACAAGGACCCUGUGCAUCAAAAGCAAUCUGUCAUCAAUGUUAAGGAGACAGAUUCAACGAAACGAAGAUAUGACAGGUGUACACCAUAUUUUUCUUUCAUUUAACCUCUGCAUGUUUCCCAGUCAAUAAAUGUUAUUAUCCAUUUUC